UCUUCCCUCUUUCCUCGUGCCUAAUACAUGCAAGUCGAGCGAACAGACGAGGAGCUUGCUCCUCUGACGUUAGCGGCGGACGGGUGAGUAACACGUGGAUAACCUACCUAUAAGACUGGGAUAACUUCGGGAAACCGGAGCUAAUACCGGAUAAUAUAUUGAACCGCAUGGUUCAAUAGUGAAAGACGGUUUUGCUGUCACUUAUAGAUGGAUCCGCGCCGCAUUAGCUAGUUGGUAAGGUAACGGCUUACCAAGGCAACGAUGCGUAGCCGACCUGAGAGGGUGAUCGGCCACACUGGAACUGAGACACGGUCCAGACUCCUACGGGAGGCAGCAGUAGGGAAUCUUCCGCAAUGGGCGAAAGCCUGACGGAGCAACGCCGCGUGAGUGAUGAAGGUCUUCGGAUCGUAAAACUCUGUUAUUAGGGAAGAACAAAUGUGUAAGUAACUAUGCACGUCUUGACGGUACCUAAUCAGAAAGCCACGGCUAACUACGUG
rnacentral:rRNA from 1 species